CAGCAGCCGCGGUAAUACCAGCUCCAAUAGCGUAUAUUAAAGUUGUUGCGGUUAAAAAGCUCGUAGUUGAAUCUGUGUCGCACACCGUCGGUUCACCGCUCGCGGUGUUUAACUGGCGUGAUGUGGGACGUCCUACCUGUGGGCUUAGCCUCGCGAGGGGCGGCCCAACUAAUAUCCCGUCGCGGUGCUCUUUACUGAGUGUCGAGUCGGGCCGGUACGUUUACUUUGAACAAAUUAGAGUGCUUAAAGCAGGCUACCUUCGCCUGAAUACUGCGUGCAUGGAAUAAUGGAAUAGGACCUCGGUUCUAUUUUGUUGGUUUUCGGAACCCCGAGGUAAUGAUUAAUAGGGACAGAUGGGGGCAUUCGUAUUGCGACGUUAGAGGUGAAAUUCUUGGAUCGUCGCAAGACGGACAGAAGCGAAAGCAUUUGCCAAAAAUGUUUUCAUUAAUCAAGAACGAAAGUUAGAGGUUCGAAGGCGAUCAGAUACCGCCCUAGUUCUAACCAUAAACGAUGCCAGCUAGCGAUCCGCCGAAGUUCCUCCGAUGACUCGGCGGGCAGCUUCCGGGAAACCAAAGCUUUUGGGUUCCGGGGGAAGUAUGGUUGCAAAGCUGAAACUUAAAGGAAUUGACGGAAGGGCACCACCAGGAGUGGAGCCUGCGGCUUAAUUUGACUCAACACGGGAAACCUCACCAGGCCCAGACACCGGAAGGAUUGACAGAUUGAUAGCUCUUUCUUGAUUCGGUGGGUGGUGGUGCAUGGCCGUUCUUAGUUGGUGGAGCGAUUUGUCUGGUUAAUUCCGAUAACGAACGAGACUCUAGCCUGCUAAAUAGGCGUACCUUAUGGUAUCUCGAAGGCCCCCGACUUCGGCCGGCGGGUUUUUACUACCAACGUACAAACAAAUCUUCUUAGAGGGACAGCGGCUUCUAGCCGCACGAGAUUGAGCAAUAACAGGUCUGUGAUGCCCUUAGAUGUUCUGGGCCGCACGCGCGCUACACUGAAGGAAUCAGCGUGUGUUCCCUGGCCGAAAGGCCCGGGUAACCCUCUGAACCUCCUUCGUGCUAGGGAUUGGGGCUUGCAAUUGUUCCCCAUGAACGAGGAAUUCCCAGUAAGCGCGAGUCAUAAGCUCGCGUUGAUUACGUCCCUGCCCUUUGCACACACCGCCCGU
rnacentral:rRNA from 1 species